rnacentral:lncRNA from 1 species
UGCCAGGGCUGGCCCACACCUAGCUGCUGAGAAUUCCUCCCCUCCAGCUAUUUCCUUCUUAUCACUCCUGCCGUUUUGGCAGGCUCUCUCCUCUGGUCUCAGCCAAAGGUGAAGCUGGCUGUGCUCCCACUCUCCCUGGAUGGCGCACUACUAUUUGGAAUUUGGUUCCUCUGAUUGCCCCUUGUGACACCAGCUCUCCAGCAGGCUGAAGAAAAGUUAUGGUUUUGAAGAAUAUCCAGCAUUUUCUCGUUGUUAGACAGGAGUGAUGCUCUCUUGUGGCUUCUACAUCCUGAGUGAGGCAGAAUCCCCCUGUCUCUGGCUCUUGUGGUUAACAGCUUUGGAUUCACCCAGAUCUGGGUUCAAAUUCUGUCUCCAUCAGGUGUCUUAGGUAUCCCACCAAGGAGACCUGAUCUUGAGCCUGGAGCCCCGAACCGAUGCUUGAAUUCCAAGAGGUGACCUGCUGCCGGGGGGCCUGGUGGCAGGCACUGCACUCACACACCAGGGGAUGGAUGCAGACAGAGGGGCAGCACUUGGACCUGGCGGGCGGCGGGACUGACCAUUGGGCCAGGGACAGGCCGGGGCGCCACGAGGCUGUCUGCUGCAGAAUAAAAAUGCCACUAUUCCUCUAAUUGCU